rnacentral:rRNA from 1 species
UAGGGAAUCUUCGGCAAUGGACGAAAGUCUGACCGAGCAACGCCGCGUGAGUGAAGAAGGUUUUCGGAUCGUAAAACUCUGUUGUUAGAGAAGAACAAGGACGUUAGUAACUGAACGUCCCCUGACGGUAUCUAACCAGAAAGCCACGGCUAACUACGUGCCAGCAGCCGCGGUAAUACGUAGGUGGCAAGCGUUGUCCGGAUUUAUUGGGCGUAAAGCGAGCGCAGGCGGUUUCUUAAGUCUGAUGUGAAAGCCCCCGGCUAAACCGGGGAGGGUCAUUGGAAACUGGGAGACUGGAGUGCAGAAGAGGAGAGUGGAAUUCCAUGUGUAGCGGUGAAAUGCGUAGAUAUAUGGAGGAACACCAGUGGCGAAGGCGGCUCUCUGGUCUGUAACUGACGCUGAGGCUCGAAAGCGUGGGGAGCAAACAGG